CUGGCAGUGCUGCCAGAAUCUCCGGGGGCAGCACAGCAUCUCUAGGAAUACUGGGCACGCCCCUGGAGUAAUGAAAUGGGAGGGGGCUUCUCCCAAGGCCACACCUAUUCCCAGGAUUGCAGUAACCUCCGGACUCCUGAAAGGCCACGCCCCCUUCUGAGCACGGAGGGACUAUUUACUACAUGAGGAUAAGGAAAAAACAGUAGGAAAGUAGCUGGAAGAUGCGGAUCCUAGCAUUUGAGCUAAUACUUCCCACAAAACAUAGCAAUAGUUUUCAAAAUCGGAUUCACCAACAGCAAUAGGCACAGUCACCGUGAGACUGGGAUUAUGUAUAAAUGACAUGUAAUCACUCUCAUCAAUAAUGUAUUUCUCAACACUGCUCCCAAUUCCACUUGUGGCAGUUGUUCCAUUUCCAUCCUUCAGGCAUUCUGGAUAAAUUCCCGUACGCUCUUCUUUAAAUAAGCUAUCCCAAUGUGCAUCUUGGCAACGGCAAUUUGCAGAUU